rnacentral:lncRNA from 10 species
CUCAGAGAUCAGGUACAAGAGCAAUAAACAAUCAUGUAUGGGAAGUAGAGUGGGCUCCAAUCAAGGAACUGGCUGUAUGUAUUGGUCUUGAUUUAGGAAUCCUUAUGGCACAUUACCUGCAAUGUGUCUUCCAUUUUCUCCCUUUUUGAAUAAAAGAGUCUGCAAUGGCUCUUCUGUCCCUGGCUUAUAGCAGUAACUCUAUGUUAGAAGAAACAAUGGGGGUAAUUUGUCCCUUUACUUCCUAGUUUAUAGGUCUUUGGAUUGAGAGGAGCCACUCCUAAGGGGUCUUGUUGUCACCCGAACCUUGUCUUCAAGCCCGAUAGUACAAUUAGCCUGAGCCAUCACAUAAAAGUUUGACUGCUCUCAUGGAGAAACCACAUGGAAGGAUCACCUGGAGAAGAAAUGUUUUGAAAACACAUACAGAAGAAAAGACAUCCAGCUAUCUUAGCAUCCCAGAGACCUGUAGAACUAUUCAGCUGAGCUCACUGAAACCAGAACCAUGAGAGAUGAUAAAAUGUUUGUUGUCUGAAUCAACUACAUUUCGAAAUGUCAUUUCACAAAAUAUUGAGUAGUGUUUCCUUGUAUGAAUAUACUACAUUUUUAAAAGCCAACUUUUCCUUUUAGAAAUUAAAAGCAACAUGCAGAAGAUGAAAUGCGUGACUUCAAAGAUUCCGUGGUUUUUCAAAUUCUAAUUGUGCUUGACCGCUGAAAUGUAGUAAAGUAAAAAGAGUCCUAGACUGGAAAUUGAGAGAUCUGGGUUUUAUUUUCUACCCUGUCAAAAGCUAUCUGAUGACCUCAAGCAAGUAAGAUUCAGAUUUUAGAUUUAAGUUUUUAAGUUCAAUGAGAAAUUGAACUGUAAAGUGAGAAUUUGGUCUCAAUUUGGAACUUUUCUAGGGCUAACAUUUUAUAACUCUAGAUUUAAAUCACCUAGAACAGUAGUUCUCAAAAAGCUAGGGAGUGUCUUCAUUUUGUAGAAAUAUCUUUCUGAUUUCUGGCGGAUAAACAUCUCCCUUGGCAUUUAAACUCAGUUUUGUCCCACCCUCAUUGCUAUGAAAUCACCCCACUCCAAAUGUUCUCAAACACCCUCAGGGGGGCUUAACAUCCUAUGUUGAGAAUCUAAUUCUCAAUUUCUACAAAGUCAGCUUUUUGAGAGUAUGUAAAUGAGUUUGGAGAUAACUAAUUUUUUAAAAAAUUAAGUCUUCUAAUCCAAGAACAUAUUAUAUCUUUCCAUAUAUUUUGUUUUUAUUUUUCUAUGCAAUUUUGAUUGAUUUUCAAAAUAGAAGUUAUCCAUAUUUUCAUGAAUUUAUUUCUAGGCAUUUUAUGUUUCUAAAAAUAUGGAGUUUUUAAUUUAUUUUUUCAGUAGGUUCCAGCUAGUAUAUAGAUAUAAAUUGGAAUUUUUAAUAAUGAUAAUAAAUUUAAUUACUUAGCUAAUUUCUCUCUUUUUAAAAUUUCUUAGGAUUUUAUCUUUGACAAGUUUGUUGUUUUCUAGUAGACAGUUUAAUUUUGUCCUUUCCAAGCUGAUUAUACUUUAUUUCUUUUUCUUGUAUAUUGCAAUGGCUGGGAACCCCGUUCUAAUGUUGAAUAGAGAUAGUGAAAUAGCCUUGGCUUGUUCCUGAACUCAGUAGAAUCAAAUCUAGUUUUUCAUCAUUAAUAUGAUGUGAUAAUUUUGUAGAUGUGCUUUAUCUGUUUGAGGAAGCUCCUUUCUAUUCCUAAUUUGCCAAAAAUUUUUAUGUAGAAUAGCUUUUGGGUUUUGACAAAUGAGAUUAUGGAAUCUGUAAUUUUGUUUUCUUAUUGUGUUAAUUUGGUGGGCUAUGUUGAUUGAUUUUUAAAUGUUAAAUCAGGUGAGAUAAACCCUACUUGGUUGUAAUGUAUUAUCUUUUGAGUUGCUAGAUUUAAUUUACUAAUAUUUUGUUAAAAUUAAUUAAAUUAUAACCUUUCGAUAUGUAUUAAAUAUUUUAUGCAGCA